rfam:Schistosoma rodhaini strain Burundi genome assembly, scaffold: SROB_scaffold0001743
GCAUUGCUGAGAAGUCCCAUAAUAGGACGAAACGGCCGUCCAGUGC